rnacentral:pre_miRNA from 1 species
GUGACAGAAGAGAGUGAGCACAUAUGGCCUUUCUUGCAUGGUACGAGUUUUACAUGCUUGAAGCGAUCUGUGCUCACCCUCUAUCUGUCAC